rnacentral:tRNA from 1 species
CGCUAAGAAGCUAUACGGGUAAAGCAUUAGCCUUUUAAGCUAAACUAAGGUGAUUCCCAACCACCCUUAGCGU